GCCAUAGGCCGGGGCCUCGCCUGCCUGCCCGGCCGGCCGGGAACUGGGGCUCUUCGCCAGGGCGGCCCAGUAACGCGCGCCGCCGCCGCUUGCGCUCCAUCACCCAAGGGGCUCAGACAGGAAAGCGAGCUGCAGGCUCGAAGGUGAAAGAGGCUGGGUCGCCCCGGAACGCGUGAUGCUCACGGAAAGAUGAGCCUAUCGCCUUUGUGUGGCGGAUGGAUAUGAACUGCAGCCCAAAGACAGAAAAACAUCAACAACAACAAAACAAGAUAAAAGAGAAAACAAAAACUUCCCCCCAACUCUUGAGUUUCACGGAACAAUCUGCGAUAGCAAACAAGAUUCUACAGGUUUCAUGUUACCUGGAAGCAAACUAUUAGAAAGCUGGUUGCCUUGCUUCCUGUGAACCGCACAAGGGAACCUGAGAGGAGGAACCUGGCUCCAUCUCUCAGGGUCACGGGGACUUGUGGCUUUUGUACUUAAGAAAGUUAUCAGACCAGUUGAUUACACCAUCACAAUGAUUGC
rnacentral:lncRNA from 1 species